AAUGCAGCCGUGCGGUCGGAAGCGGACUGUACCAACCCAGAUAAGGGAGUCCUGAAAAAAACAUCCAUCCAUUUAUCCACCAGUGCUCCAUUAUUUUAACGAAAGCUGUUUCGUAAAGCCCUUAUUCCCCAACGAUAUAACGUCGUGGGUUCUAGUCAUAAGAGAGAAAACAUCGACAUUAUUGUACGUUAUCACUCUUCCUCUCUGCACUUGAGAACACCCCUCUCAUACGGAGCGAUCAGACACCGUAGGAUGCUGAUGGUUCGGACCUGCUGGCUGCUGCUGGCUGCAGCCGCUCCGUUUGGGCGAGAAGUUGAGCACGGGGAUGAUGGCGCUGCACAUGAAGAACAGAGAGGCAUCCUACUACCAAAGUGCACCAUUCUGCAGACAUUUCAGCUUCACUGACACGGGCCAUUACCUCGCUCGCUUCCCAGAGACAUCAGAGUGGUUGUGAGUGUUUGUGCGAUGCGUGUGUCUGUGAGUGUAGUCCUCCGUAUGCAUGGCUGCAGCAGAAGCCUCUCCUGAUGCCUGUGAUGCCCGUUGGAGGGAGAAGCUCUUGUGUUCCUCGGGAUGGCUCUUGCCCUCGCCCUCUCUGUUGUGCAUCCCUCCGGCCCCGGGCUCUGAGCCACGGCCUGCCCCACUCGCUGAUCUCAUCACGCACUGUUCGCUCUGUUCUGUGCGUCCAUUUCUGUGGAUCCUCGCAUUAAUGUCAUUAUCUAUGAUUCAUUCCGUAUCCCUCAUGUUUACCCAUUAUCUUCGCUUUGUUUUUUACAUUGCAUUCACACACUUUAAUAUACGGUGAAGCACUGGCACUGGGUCCCUUCUUAAUUUAUACAGUUUGUUGGUUUAGUCCUUACUUUAGCUGUCCUUACUUUUAUCUAUUUUUAGCACGGCUUUGUAUUUUCAUUGUAUUGUAUUUUAUCCUGUGUCUUCCAUUGCUGCCGGCCUGUGACAAAGGAAUCUCCUCUCCGGGAGAUUAAUAAAGAUCUAUCUAUCUAUCUAUCUAUCUAUCUAUCCAUCUAUCCAUCUAU
ensembl:lncRNA